rnacentral:rRNA from 1 species
GAUGAACGCUGGCGGCGUGCCUAAUACAUGCAAGUCGAGCGAACGGACGAGAAGCUUGCUUCUCUGAUGUUAGCGGCGGACGGGUGAGUAACACGUGGAUAACCUACCUAUAAGACUGGGAUAACUUCGGGAAACCGGAGCUAAUACCGGAUAAUAUUUUGAACCGCAUGGUUCAAAAGUGAAAGACGGUCUUGCUGUCACUUAUAGAUGGAUCCGCGCUGCAUUAGCUAGUUGGUAAGGUAACGGCUUACCAAGGCAACGAUGCAUAGCCGACCUGAGAGGGUGAUCGGCCACACUGGAACUGAGACACGGUCCAGGCUCCUACGGGAGGCAGCAGUAGGGAAUCUUCCGCAAUGGGCGGAAGCCUGACGGAGCAACGCCGCGUGAGUGAUUAAGGUCUUCGGAUCGUAAAACUCUGUUAUUAGGGAAGAACAUAUGUGUAAGUAACUGUGCACAUCUUGACGGUACCUAAUCAGAAAGCCACGGCUAACUACGUG